UCAGGGGAACUUGAUGAAAAGCAUGAACCACUAGCUUAAAGUUGGGAAAGUCCGAUACAUACUUCUGCAUGUCUAUGCGAAUACCAGUGGAUGAGGAAGCCUUCGUGAUUGACUUCAAGCCUCGAGCCAGCAUGGAUACUGUCCAUCAUAUGUUACUUUUUGGAUGCAAUAUGCCUUCAUCCACUGGAAGUUACUGGUUUUGUGAUGAAGGAACCUGUACAGAUAAAGCCAAUAUUCUGUAUGCCUGGGCAAGAAAUGCUCCCCCUACCCGGCUCCCCAAAGGUGUUGGAUUCAGAGUUGGAGGAGAGACUGGAAGUAAAUACUUUGUACUACAGGUACACUAUGGGGAUAUUAGUGCUUUUAGAGAUAAUAACAAGGACUGUUCUGGUGUGUCCUUACACCUCACACGUCUGCCACAGCCUUUAAUUGCUGGCAUGUACCUUAUGAUGUCUGUUGAUACUGUUAUCCCAGCAGGAGAAAAAGUGGUGAAUUCUGACAUUUCAUGCCAUUAUAAAAAUUA
rnacentral:sRNA from 1 species